ensembl:lncRNA LINC01471 long intergenic non-protein coding RNA 1471
AGGCGAGAUAAUGCAGAGGUGGGGGACAGAGUGGGUGGGGAGGGGAGCCGCCAUACAGUGGCCAGGACCAGCUUUGCCCAAGUGGUGGCAACCGCAUGACCACAGGAACGAUGGCGUGAGCCCCGUGGCAACCUGGAGGAAGGGCCAAGCCACUGGUGAAUAUGCUGCAAAAAAUAUGCUGGAACUUCUAUGAAUACCACAGGGUGUGAGAAGAAAACAUUAGAACUUCUAUUUUGUACCUGUGUUACUCCACAACAAGAAAGCAAUCAGCUUGAUCAAUGCCUACUGUAAAGACGGCACCGCCCUCCGGAGGUCCUUUCUCAGCCCUGGUGUUCGGACAGCCACAUCCCCUCGCAGCAGGGGGAGGCCUGAAGCAUAGAGGGGCCCAUGCAGGUCUAUUCUGUUUCAGCGAAUUGCCUGGGAAAUAAUCCAGGAUCCAUUUCGUGUGGUCAUCUUGUCUCCCUGGUCCCCUCCAGCCUUUCCUCAUCUUUUGUGACCUGGUCACUCUGGAAGGGCGCUGGCCAGUUAGUCCACAGGAUGGGCCUCCCCUGGGGCUUUUCUGAUGCUUCCUUAUGAUGGCACUGGCAUCCUGAGGGGGAGGACCACAGAGAGGAGGUGCUCCUCAUCACACCACAUGGGGGUCCAUGCACCAGUGCCACUGCUUUCCAGGGCUCUUCACCUUCAUCACUGGUGGAGGUGGCGUCUGCCAAGAAGCAGAAAGUUGAGGCUUAGAAGGUGCACGGCCCUACCUCUUCCGAGGUGCCCCUGCGGGCUGUCUACAGACCAGGCAGCACAUGCCUGAUAGCAGCUGCAUAAGGAAAAGCAGGAGCCAGCUCGUGCACAGUGGCCUCAAGUGUGCACUGGGCAUGUUCUCUGCCUCACCAUCCCUGUGUGACAGAUGAAGCAUGGCAAGCCAGGCUCCAGAGAAGCAUCCUGAGGACCAGUGUUCCUAGGGACCUCAUUCUUCUGACCUCAUUCCUACAACGUUUUGUCACUGCAAAGGAAAUCACCAAGGCCAGCAUGACAGCCCUCAACAGAAGCCAAGGCCAAGUCCUCGAACUUCCUAGUCUGCACAAUGCUUCAAGGACCACAGAGGGCCAAGUGCAGGAGUAAGAGGCUGGCGUGCUGACAGUGGCCAAGGGCAUUGGAGGGAAGGACCUGUCAUCACUGGGCCAAGGAAGGAACUCCAGACUGCCUACUUCCAGAGGGCCUGCUGAGAACCCCAAAGAGCUCUCUCAACAAACACACCCACGAGUUCCAGGAGUGAGGCUGCAGGGAACAGCCUCACUCUCAGAGGGGAUACAGAAUUGUUCCACUGGACAAGGGCUGGGAUCGUCAUAGGAUGCCGUUGGCCUGUGGUUUCCAACAGAGGUGCAGUUCAUUGAACUGUGGUCUACAGUCCAUUCUCUAACUUGGGGACCCUUGAAGAAGUGUGGAAUCAUGACAACAACCCUGUUGGGAGACACUAUUAUUCCCAUCACAUGGAUGAGCACACGGAGGCAAAAGGAAGUUAUAUGAUUGUCUGAGAUCACCCAGUGAAGACUGUGUGGCUGGGAGUUGUCCCCAGUGUUAUCUGCACGCUGCUUCCUUUUGAUGCCUGGCCCUUCUUUAUCAAAAGAAGCAUUGGCAGAAUCUGGGUGUUUAUGGGUCAGCUCAAAAUAAAUUACUUUAUAUGUCAUUC